rnacentral:rRNA from 1 species
CUNGGUGAACCUGCGGAAGGAUCAUUGUCGAAAUCGAACGAAAGAACGACCCGCGAAUCGUUGUCCCGCUACUCGAGGAUAUCGUCGUGCCGGCGGCGGCCUCCCCCGGGGACCCCGUCGCGCCGGCGAACAACCAACCCCAGCACGAACCGUGCCAAGGACCAUAACGGAGAGGAUCGUCGUCCCGAGCCCCCGGCCUUACGCCUACGGCGGGGCGGGGGACGGGCGCGAUCUCUUUUUCACGUCUUAAUGACUCUCGGCAACGGAUAUCUCGGCUCUUGCAUCGAUGAAGAACGUAGCGAAAUGCGAUACUUGGUGUGAAUUGCAGAAUCCCGCGAACCAUCAAUUCUUUGAACGCAAGUUGCGCCCGAAGCCAUUCGGCCGAGGGCACGCCUGCCUGGGUGUCGUGAUACCUCUUGCCCUUGGGCGCCCGCACGAGAUUCGGCGGGGACGCAAGCCCGGGCGCAGAAGAUGGCCUCCCGUAGGACGGGCGCGCGAGUCGCGCCCGCGCGCGGUUGGCCGAAAUAAGAGCAUCGUGGCGACGGGCUCCACGGCGUAAGGUGGAUCGUUUUCCGAUUGGCUUCGCCGUGGGCUCGGCAACGCGUCCGGCUCCGGGCUACAACUCGAGUUCCCGAGUGCGAUCCCAGGUCAGGCGGGGCUACCCGCUGAGUUUAAG